UGGGCAGUGGCGGCGGCGGGACAUAUAACAAUAAAACCGGGGACGGGGAGGGAAUUGGGCCGUGGCGGCGGCGGGAUAUUUAACUAUAAAACCAGGGACGGGGAGGGAAUUGGGCAGUGGCGGCGGCGGGACAUAUAACUAUAAAACCGGGGACUGGGAGGGAAUCUGGCGGUGGCAGUGGGACUCUGGCCAGGCAGAAGCUGCUGCAGUUCAAUGAUUUAAAGUGCCCGCUUUAAAUCAUUGAACUGCAGCAGCUUUUGCGGGAUCACAAACAGUAUAUCGGCGUAUAACACGCAGAUAGACUUUAGGCUAAAAUUUUUAGCAGCGGAGGCAUGCGCUUUUCUUGCCUCCGACUCCGAAUCUGUCAGUGAGGACGAUGAAGAUCCUACAUUCCUGUGUUCUUCAUCGUCCUCCUCAUCAUCUAGUACUGAUGAGGAGUCACCUGUGCGGCAGAGACGCCGCCAGGUGAGGCCACGCAACCCCCAUUGUAGUGGCCCUGUGGCCUGCACUAGUGCGAGUGGUGAUGCCGCUUGUACUAGGAGUCCGAACCCCUAGACAAGUUUACCAGAGCCCCCUUCUGGUGAACCUUUCUGGAGACCCCCAGAGGGUUAUCUGCCACGGAUUCUGGAGUUUGUUGGCUACUCCGGAAUCCGGAUUGACAAUUCUGGAUUCACAGAAAUUUGACUAUUUCAGUUAUUUUUUCAGUGACAGUUUUGUCAAUCUAAUGGUGGAGCAGACAAAUCUGUACGCCAGGCAGUUCAUUGCCCACCACCCUGAUUCUUUUUUGGCCAGGUCCAAUGAAUGGUACUCCAUUGAUGCAGCAGAAAUGAUGACAUUUUGGGGCCUCUUGCUGCAUAUGGGCCUGGUCAAAAGCCAAGUGUCAGGCAGUACUGGAGCGGGGACAUCCUAUACAAGACCCAGCUUUACAGUAUUGCCCUGACACUGAAGCGGUUCGAGGCCAUUCGGAAAUGCCUCCAUUAUGCACAUAAUGAGGCAUGUCCACCCCGAAGUGAUCCCACCUAUGACCGGCUUUACAAAGUGAGACCACUCAUCGAUCACUUUGGGGCCAAAUUUUUGGAGGCCUACGUACCACUCAGGGACCUCUCGGUAGAUGAGUCUCUUAUCAGUUUUAAGGGGAGACUCAUCUUCCGCCAGUAUAUUCCCUCGAAGCGGGCGCGGUAUGACGUGAAGCUAUAUAAACUUUGUGAGAGUACCUCCGGGUACACUUACAAGUUUAGGGUGUAUGAGGGACGAGAUUCCCGUAUUGAACCCCCAGAUUGUUUACCCACUCUGAGUGUUAGCGGUAAAAUCGUUUUGGACCUUGUGUACCCAUUGUUGGAUAAGGGUUACCACGUGUAUGUGGAAAACUUUUAUACCAGCAUCCCUCUCUUCACAACCCUUCCACCAGAUCCACGUCCGCUUGUGGGACCGUGCGGAAGAACCAGAGAGGCCUCCCUUUAAAUUUGAUCCAGACACCUAUGUCCAAGGGUAUGUCCCGUGCCCUUGCCCAUGAAAACCUGUUGCUGGUCAGGUAUAAGGAUAAGAGGGAUGUCCUUAUGCUGACUACUAUUCAUGGCAACAGCAGCUCACCUGUCCCUGUGCGAGGUACCACAACACCGGUCCUCAAGCCCGAUUGUAUUCUGGACUACAAUCGGUAUAUGGGGGGAGUUGAUCUUUCUGAUCAAGUCCUCAAGCCAUACAUGGCCAUGCGGAAAACACGGGUAUGGUACAAAAAAGUUGCGGUCUACAUGGUACAGGUUGCCAUGUACAAUGCUUUUGUACUGUCCCAGUACGCUGGCAACACAGGGACAUACCUUCAAUUCCAAGAAGAAGCCCUAAAGGUCCUUAUCUUUGGUGACCGGGAAAGAGCAGGCUGGACUUCCCAAGGAACUGAAGUAUUAGGUGCCAGGAUCGUCCCAGGCCAACACUUUCCAGGUGAAGUCCCCCACACUGGAAAGAAGGGACGAACCCUGAAAAAAAUGCAGAAUGUGUCACAAGAGGGGGAUUCGGAAGGACACCACCACUCAAUGUGACACUUGCCCCCAUCAUCCGGGCCUCUGAAUUAAAAACUGCUUCAGUGAGUAUCACACUUCCAUACGGUACUAAAUUUUCCCUCUUCAUUUUAAUUUCCCAUAAUUUGACCCCAAUGUACCAAGUCCAGAGUACAUUGCAAAUUUCAACCCCAUAAAACCACUAAAAUGCCCAAAAAACUCUUUAUAAAAAAAAAACUGAUAAGACCUCUGGGGGUAUUUCUUCCAAAAAUGGGUCACUGAGUCACUAUCAUCGGGGACUUUUUAUGUUGCCUCAAAUGUUCAGCGCUCUCUCUCUCCACCUGAGCGGGGUGCGCAUUAAUGCAACAGGUUAGGGACGGCCACACACAUCACAUUCCCAGAAUGAUGAUUCAGAGCAUAGGGUUUGGGGUGGGCAUAUUUUUUUGUUUUGGCUAUGCUCUGGUUCAUCAUUCUGGGAACAUAAUUUAUAAUUUUAUGUCCCACUGUACCACACUUUAGUUACAUAGUGUACCCCAGUUAUUUACCACAUGUAAUGCCCCUUGAGGGGGGUCCCACUGUUCCUCCUCCAUAGGAGAAAUACAAAGCUCAAGGACCCUGACUGAUCUCCGGCACCUCUGAGACCAGUGUGCAAGCUGUUUACGGCCAAAUAUGAGGAUCCAGGGAGCCAUCCUCUUCUGCUGCACGACAUCGCCGCCCGCUGAUCACCGUCGCCCGCUGCCUCAGGACGGCUGGCAAGGAGCCAGACUUGUAUGAGGAACUGUGGUCUGCUGUGUUAUUGUGAGGAACGUGUCCCUUUGAAAGUGACCAGGACGAUCCGAGAGCUAAUCCCUGAGACGGUUCGUCACAUUUUGGUGGAGGAUGCGGGCA